rnacentral:rRNA from 1 species
CAGUCGUACCUGCGGAAAAUCAGCCUUUCGGGUGCGAUUCUGUGGGGCGUGAGGAGCUUAACCGCCUUCAUGUUUUGCAUAUUCGUGCACAUUUGGUGUACUUGUCCGUGUGGUGGGGUUAACAUCAAUUUCGGUCGUCAUAAAUGACUGGGAGGAAUGUAGCUUUGGUCUCGUAUCGAAGUGUUAUAGACUCUGGUAGAUGUGACGUAUUGGGAUUGAGGUAUUGGCAACGGAUACCC